GGAGCUUUGAGCAGCCACAGCAGGGAGCACCCUCACCUCGGAGGGAUCCAGACUGGGACCCCCCAGGCUCAGCCACCUCUGCACGGCUCCUGCAGGACCCAGGGGUGACACCAGAUGAACAACACGUCCUGCAUGGCUCCAGGGAUGUUUCACAGGAGGUGAACCUCCAGCUGUGCCCGGAGCAUCUCCAGCAGCAUGGUUUUUCUACUGACCAUCAUCUGCUGAAGAUCAUGCACCAGGAAAAGGUCUCGGACAAUGGCCCCACCAAAGAAAUACCUUGUUCUCCAGCCCUCUCCUCAAAGAUGUCAGGUAUCUUACGAGCAGAUCAAGGACUUGGGAUGUAACUUCACUCACAUUUAGAAGCUCAUUCUCUUGAGCUGCUGAAUUUGUCCUGAUUCAGCCAAAUCUCUGGUCCUCCUGGAGCACUGCAGAGAUGCUGAGACCUUCCAGCCCCUGCCACUUUCUGCCCGUAUCUGUUUCCCCUGUAUCUGACCCUAUCAGUGCCAGCAGCACUGGGCCACUUUUUCUGUGUACCGGUUUGGAUGCCCAGUGCAUGACAGCAUCUUGUCUCGUGGUAGAUGACUCAUAUGGGACCUGCCCCAAGUCCCACGAUGAGAUUUUCAGCCACAUUAUUAGCUCGCAGCCUUGAUGGAUGGGCUUGUUAGCCCUUGGGUUACUCAUGAAGCAUCUUUCUUCUGCAGUUUCUGAUUAAAAACAUCUUUCUGUUUCA